rnacentral:misc_RNA from 1 species
GAUGAAGAACGCAGCGAAAUGCGAUAAGUAAUGUGAAUUGCAGAAUUCAGUGAAUCUUCGAAUCUUUGAACGCACAUUGCGCCCGCCAGCAUUCUGGCGGGCAUGCCUGUUCGAGCGUCAUUUCAACCCUCGAGCCCCCCCGGGGGCCUCGGUGUUGGGGGACGGCACACCAGCCGCCCCCGAAAUGCAGUGGCGACCCCGCCGCAGCCUCCCCUGCGUAGUAGCACACACCUCGCACCGGAGCGCGGAGGCGGUCACGCCGUAAAACGCCCAACUUUCUUAGAGUUGACCUCGGAUCAGGUAGGAAUACCCGCUGAACUUAAGCAUAUCAAUAAGCGGAGGA